rnacentral:rRNA from 1 species
CAGCAGCCGCGGUAAUACCGGCGGCCCGAGUGGCGGCCACUAUUAUUGGGCUUAAAGCGUCCGUAGCCGGGUUGGUUAGUCUCCCGGGAAAUCUGGCCGCUUAACGGUCAGAAUUCCGGGAGAUACUGCCAGCCUAGGGACCGGGAGAGGCCGAGGGGAUUCCCGGAGUAGGGGUGAAAUCCUAUAAUCCCGGGAGGACCACCUGUGGCGAAGGCGCCCGGCUGGAACGGGUCCGACGGGGAGGGACGAAGGCCAGGGGAGCAAACCGGAUUAGAUACCCGGGUAGUCCUGGCUGUAAACGAUGCGGACUUUGUGUCGGACAAGCUAUGAGCAUGUCCGGUGCCGGAGGGAAACCGUUAAGUCCGCCGCCUGGGGAGUACGGCCGCAAGGCUGAAACUUAAAGGAAUUGGCGGG